UUGCUUUGGCAGCAUAUAGACUAAAACUGGAAUAAUACAGAGAAGAUUAGCAUGGCCCCUGCUCACGGAUGACAUUCCAAAUUGUGAAGUGUUACAUAUUUAA